rnacentral:rRNA from 1 species
GACGAACGCUGGCGGCGUGCUUAACACAUGCAAGUCGAACGAAGUGGCGGACGGGUGAGUAACGCGUAAUCAACCUGCCCUUCAGAGGGGGACAACAGUUGGACACGACUACUAAUACCGCAUACGGAAGGAGGAGAUUGCGUUGGAUUAGCUAGUUGGAGGGGUACCGGCCCCCCAAGGCGAUGAUCAGUAGCCGGUCGGGUAGGAUGGACGGCCAAAAUGGGACGGAGAACCGGCCCAGAAUCCUACGGGAGGCAGCAGUGGGGAAUCGUCCGCAAUGGACGAAAGUCUGACGGGGCAAAGCCGCGUGAGUGAUGACGGCCUUCGGGUUGGAAAGCUCUGUUAAUCGGGACGCGGUACCGGAAUAGAAAGCCACGGCUAACUACGUGCCAGCAGCCGCGGUAAUAC